GUCCACUUUUAGCCACCAUCUUGAAAUUAUGCAUAUGGUAAAAUGUAAACUAAAAGUUCUAAUAAAGAGAUGAUAUUAUGCGACAUCAUGCUUAUAACACGCAGAGGUAAAUAAGACAUACUGUGAGUGAAAUGACACAGUAGUCAACCAUGAGAGAGAGAGAGAGAGAGAGAGAGAGAGAGAGAUUGAUCAUUUACCAGUGAAUAGUCACGCCAUACUUUCCGUUAUUUUGAACAGUGACAAAUG